rnacentral:pre_miRNA from 1 species
AAUAGUUUAAUGUCACAUCAACUUUUUUUUCUCUUGAAUUUUAGCAUUUCCCUCUUAAAAAAAUCAAAUCCAACUGAAAAUAUUGAAAUUCAGGAGGAAAAAAUUAAUGUGACAUUAAACUAUU